UACAGAGGUCUCAAGCGUUGUUCGGAUUCAUUGGGCGUAAAGGGUGCGUAGGCGGCGCGGUAAGUCGGGUGUGAAAUCUUGGAGCUUAACUCCGAAACUGCAUUCGAUACUGCCGUGCUUGAGGACUGGAGAGGAGACUGGAAUUUACGGUGUAGCGGUGAAAUGCGUAGAUAUCAGGAGGAACACCGAUGGCGAAGGCAGGUCUCUGGGCUGACACUGACGCUCAUGCACGAAAGCGUGGGGAGCAAACAGG
rnacentral:rRNA from 1 species